AGAGAUAGAGUCUUCCCCUUCGGGGGACAAAGUGACAGGUGGUGCAUGGUUGUCGUCAGCUCGUGUCGUGAGAUGUUGGGUUAAGUCCCGCAACGAGCGCAACCCUUAAGCUUAGUUGCCAGCAUUAAGUUGGGCACUCUAAGUUGACUGCCGGUGACAAACCGGAGGAAGGUGGGGAUGACGUCAAAUCAUCAUGCCCCUUAUGAUUUGGGCUACACACGUGCUACAAUGGACAAUACAAAGGGCAGCUAAGCCGUGAGGUCAUGCAAAUCCCAUAAAGUUGUUCUCAGUUCGGAUUGUAGUCUGCAACUCGACUACAUGAAGCUGGAAUCGCUAGUAAUCGUAGAUCAGCAUGCUACGGUGAAUACGUUCCCGGGUCUUGUACACACCGCCCGUCACACCACGAGAGUCUGUAACACCCGAAGCCGGCGGAGUAACCAUUUAUGGAGCUAGCCGUCGAAGGUGGGACAAAUGAUUGGGGUGAAGUCGUAACAAGGUAGCCGUAUCGGAAG
rnacentral:rRNA from 1 species